rnacentral:misc_RNA from 1 species
GAUGAAGAACGUAGUGAAAUGCGAUAAGUAAUGUGAAUUGCAGAAUUCAGUGAAUCAUCGAGUUUUUGAACGCAUAUUGCGCCCUCUGGUAUUCCGGGGGGCAUGCCUGUUCGAGCGUCAUUAAAUAACCCUCAAGCAUAGCUUGGUGUUGGGCUUUUUUACGUCCUUGACUGGGAUGGGCCUAAAAAUUAGUGGCGAUGGCUUUUUUACUUUCAAGCGUAGUAAAUCUCGUCUUGCUAAAGAGGAAAAAGAUUUUUUUUCUGCCAAAAAUUUUAACAUUUAAAGUUGACCUCGGAUCAGGUAGGAUUACCCGCUGAACUUAAGCAUAUCAAUAGCGGAGGA